rnacentral:rRNA from 1 species
AGCGAACGCUGGCGGCUGGCCUAACACAUGCAAGUCGAACGAACCUUUCGGGGUUAGUGGCGGACGGGUGAGUAACACGUGGGAACGUGCCUUUAGGUUCGGAAUAACUCAGGGAAACUUGUGCUAAUACCGAAUGUGCCCUUCGGGGGAAAGAUUUAUCGCCUUUAGAGCGGCCCGCGUCUGAUUAGCUAGUUGGUUGAGGUAAUGGCUCACCAAGGCGACGAUCAGUAGCUGGUCUGAGAGGAUGAUCAGCCACAUUGGGACUGAGACACGGCCCAAACUCCUACGGGAGGCAGCAGUGGGGAAUCUUGCGCAAUGGGCGAAAGCCUGACGCAGCCAUGCCGCGUGAAUGAUGAAGGUCUUAGGAUUGUAAAAUUCUUUCACCGGGGACGAUAAUGACGGUACCCGGAGAAGAAGCCCCGGCUAACUUCGUG